GAUGAACGCUGACAGAAUGCUUAACACAUGCAAGUCAACUUGAACUUCGGUUUGGGUGGCGGACGGGUGAGUAACGCGUAAAGAACUUGCCUCACAGAUAGGGACAACAUUUGGAAACGAAUGCUAAUACCUGAUAUUAUGAUUUUAGGGCAUCCUAGGAUUAUGAAAGCUAUAUGCGCUGUGAGAGAGCUUUGCGUCCCAUUAGCUAGUUGGAGAGGUAACGGCUCACCAAGGCGAUGAUGGGUAGCCGGCCUGAGAGGGUGAUCGGCCACAAGGGGACUGAGACACGGCCCUUACUCCUACGGGAGGCGGCAGUGGGGAAUAUUGGACAAUGGACCAAGAGUCUGAUCCAGCAAUUCUGUGUGCACGAUGAAGUUUUUCGGAAUGUAAAGUGCUUUCAGUUGGGAAGAAAAAAAUGACGGUACCAACAGAAGAAGUGACGGCUAAAUACGU
rnacentral:rRNA from 1 species